AUUGAACGCUGGCGGCAGGCCUAACACAUGCAAGUCGAGCGGUAGCACAGAGAGCUUGCUCUCGGGUGACGAGCGGCGGACGGGUGAGUAAUGUCUGGGAAACUGCCUGAUGGAGGGGGAUAACUACUGGAAACGGUAGCUAAUACCGCAUAACGUCGCAAGACCAAAGUGGGGGACCUUCGGGCCUCAUGCCAUCAGAUGUGCCCAGAUGGGAUUAGCUAGUAGGUGGGGUAAUGGCUCACCUAGGCGACGAUCCCUAGCUGGUCUGAGAGGAUGACCAGCCACACUGGAACUGAGACACGGUCCAGACUCCUACGGGAGGCAGCAGUGGGGAAUAUUGCACAAUGGGCGCAAGCCUGAUGCAGCCAUGCCGCGUGUGCGAAGAAGGCCUUCGGGUUGUAAAGCACUUUCAGCGGGGAGGAAGGCGAUAAGGUUAAUAACCUCAUCGAUUGACGUUACCCGCAGAAGAAGCACCGGCUAACUCCGUGCCAGCAGCCGCGGUAAUACGGAGGGUGCAAGCGUUAAUCGGAAUUACUGGGCGUAAAGCGCACGCAGGCGGUCUGUCAAGUCGGAUGUGAAAUCCCCGGGCUCAACCUGGGAACUGCAUUCGAAACUGGCAGGCUAGAGUCUUGUAGAGGGGGGUAGAAUUCCAGGUGUAGCGGUGAAAUGCGUAGAGAUCUGGAGGAAUACCGGUGGCGAAGGCGGCCCCCUGGACAAAGACUGACGCUCAGGUGCGAAAGCGUGGGGAGCAAACAGGAUUAGAUACCCUGGUAGUCCACGCCGUAAACGAUGUCGAUUUGGAGGUUGUGCCCUUGAGGCGUGGCUUCCGGAGCUAACGCGUUAAAUCGACCGCCUGGGGAGUACGGCCGCAAGGUUAAAACUCAAAUGAAUUGACGGGGGCCCGCACAAGCGGUGGAGCAUGUGGUUUAAUUCGAUGCAACGCGAAGAACCUUACCUGGUCUUGACAUCCACAGAACUUUCCAGAGAUGGAUUGGUGCCUUCGGGAACUGUGAGACAGGUGCUGCAUGGCUGUCGUCAGCUCGUGUUGUGAAAUGUUGGGUUAAGUCCCGCAACGAGCGCAACCCUUAUCCUUUGUUGCCAGCGGUCCGGCCGGGAACUCAAAGGAGACUGCCAGUGAUAAACUGGAGGAAGGUGGGGAUGACGUCAAGUCAUCAUGGCCCUUACGACCAGGGCUACACACGUGCUACAAUGGCAUAUACAAAGAGAAGCGACCUCGCGAGAGCAAGCGGACCUCAUAAAGUAUGUCGUAGUCCGGAUUGGAGUCUGCAACUCGACUCCAUGAAGUCGGAAUCGCUAGUAAUCGUAGAUCAGAAUGCUACGGUGAAUACGUUCCCGGGCCU
rnacentral:rRNA from 1 species